UGGGGAAUCUUGCGCAAUGGGCGAAAGCCUGACGCAGCGACGCCGCGUGAGGGAAGAAGGCCUUCGGGUUGUAAACCUCUUCAGGAGGGACGAAGCCACUCGGGUUAACAGCCCAGAGGGUGACGGUACCUCCAGAAGAAGCCCCGGCUAACUACGUGCCAGCAGCCGCGGUAAUACGUAGGGGGCAAGCGUUGUCCGGAUUUAUUGGGCGUAAAGAGCGUGUAGGCGGCCAGAUAGGUCGGUUGUGAAAACUGGAUGGCUCAACCUCUAGACGUCGACCGAAACCAUCUGGCUAGAGUCCGGAAGAGGAGAGUGGAAUUCCUGGUGUAGCGGUGAAAUGCGCAGAUAUCAGGAAGAACACCCGUGGCGAAGGCGGCUCUCUGGGACGGUACUGACGCUGAGACGCGAAAGCGUGGGGAGCGAACAGGAUUAGAUACC
rnacentral:rRNA from 1 species